CAGACGGAAACGACUGCUAAUACCGAAUAAGUUCCAAGAGCCGCAUGGCCCAUGGAGAAAAGGUGGCCUCUACCUGUAAGCUAUCGCCUGAAGAGGGGUUUGCGUCUGAUUAGCUGGUUGGAGGGGUAACGGCCUACCAAAGCAACGAUCAGUAGCCGGCCUGAGAGGGUGAACGGCCACAUUGGGACUGAGACACGGCCCAAACUCCUACGGGAGGCAGCAUG
rnacentral:rRNA from 1 species